rnacentral:misc_RNA from 1 species
AACGCACAUUGCGCCCCCUGGCAUUCCGGGGGGCAUGCCUGUCCGAGCGUCAUUUCUGCCCUCCAGCCCGGCUGGGUGUUGGGCGCUGUCCCCCCGGGGACACGCCCCAAAGGCAGUGGCGGCGCCGCGUCGGGUCCUCGAGCGUAUGGGGCUUUGUCACCCGCUCGGGAAGGACUCGUCGGCGCUGGUCUUCCUCCAGGCGACCCUUCGGGGUCCGUCUUCUUUCGGUUGACCUCGGAUCAGGUAGGGUUACCCGCUGAACUUAA